AUGAAGAUACAGGCAGACAAACAUCGAAGUGACCGUGAAUUCACAGUAGGGGAGCGGGUUUUUCUGAAACUGCAACCUUACUUGCAAUCAUCAGUUGCUCCUAGGGCCAAUCAUAAGAUGGCAUUCAAAUUUUAUGGGCCGUUUGAGAUAUUGGAACGCAUUGGGGCAGUGGCUUAUCGGCUCCAAUUGCCGGCGAACAGUAAAGUUCAUCCAGUGUUUCAUGUGUCUCUCCUGAAGAAAGUGUUACAACCCAAGCAUCAGGUAUUGCCUCAAUUGCCUAACCCUGAUACUCAGUUCCAAAUCCCCGAGCAGAUUUUGGAUCAGAAAGUGGUUCGUCGGGGUUCUGGGUCUCUUGUUCAAGUUUUGAUCAAGUGGAGUGCUACGCCUGUCGAGAUGGCCACCUGGGAGGACAAGGUGACGCUGCAACAAAAGUUUCCCCGACGCCGGCUUGGGGGCAAGCCAUUUCUAAGGAGGGUGGGAUUGUCAGCGAUCCCGAGAUGGGCCAAGGGCCGACAGAAGAGAAGAGCAGGCCCAAGGGAUAGCCUCGCCUUUCGGCUCGGCUAG
rnacentral:rRNA from 1 species